GUGCAUCAGCACAGAAAGUGACAGUAAUUGGGAUCUCAUACAGAGAGGAUUUCAAAUUCAGGAAGCUCGACCUGGGCGCCAGCACUCAUUAACCAAGUCAGCAGUGGUUUUACUCAGAACUAAGUGAUAGCUUGUUAAAAAUGCUGACUCCCGGACAGCUGAAACGAACCUUCAUGUUUAGCCAGCUUCGGGGUUGAUUAGUUCUGUCAAACUUGAGAAAAGAUACUGCAGACUUCACCUCCUCUUUCUGAUUAUCAAGAGUCAAAGGUUCCACUGUGGUUCUCGGGGACAAUGACAUAGGAGUCGUCUCUUUCUUAAGGUUCUUUCCCCUUCCAUGUAACUCUCCGCCGGGAUAUAAAAUUCACAAGCAAUUAAGCUCUUGCGAUGUCUAAGGGAGGUUAACUGGAGGGAGAAACUGACAGACCUCUUGUGAGCUACGCUGAACCUGCCUUGUUUUGUUAAGAGAACUGUUUCUCCAGAAGAAGUCUUUUAGAUUGCUCUCCUCCGUUCCCCGUGGAAGUCUUCAUAUCUCACCAUGCAGACUGAAGAAGUCAGAUGGGACCCAAACAGAUGUUUUAGAGAGGGGGAAUUACUAACAAAUCUCCCCUCCGACUUCUUCCUGCUGUCUUGUGCUUGGGAGACAUUGUUUUAAAGAUCUCCUUGAUUUCUGUACCAUUUCUCUCUGGAACCUAUCCGUAAAGCAGGGAUCACUGUGACC
rnacentral:lncRNA from 1 species